rnacentral:rRNA from 1 species
GACGAACCGGUGCGAACGUUGUUCGGAAUCACUGGGCUUAAAGGGCGCGUAGGCGGGUGUGCAAGUCUGUGGUGGAAAGACCUCCAGCUUAACUGGACGAAGUGCCAUGGAUAGCUGCACAUCUUGAGGAGGGUAGGGGCAUCUGGAACGGUCGGUGGAGCGGUGAAAUGCGUUGAUAUCGACCGGAACUCCGGUGGCGAAGGCGAGGUGCUGGACCCUUCUGACGCUGAGGCGCGAAAGCCAGGGGAGGCAAACGGGAUUAGAAA